rnacentral:rRNA from 1 species
GGCGCGAAACCUUUACACUGCACGAGAGUGCGAUAGGGGGACUCCGAGUGCGAGGGCAUAUAGUCCUCGCUUUUCUGAACCGUAAGGUGGUUCAGGAACAAGUGCUGGGCAAGACCGGUGCCAGCCGCCGCGGUAAUACCGGCAGCACGAGUGAUGGCCGAUUUUAUUGGGCCUAAAGCGUCCGUAGCUUGCUGUGUAAGUCCAUUGGGAAAUCCACGCGCUCAACGCGUGGGCGUCCGGUGGAAACUGCACGGCUUGGGGCCGAGAGACUCGACGGGUACGUCCGGGGUAGGAGUGAAAUCCUAUAAUCCUGGACGGACCACCAAUGGGGAAACCACGUCGAGAGACCGGACCCGACAGUGAGGGACGAAAGCCAGGGUCUCGAACCGGA